UAUGGCAGAUUAGUGCAUUGGAA
rnacentral:tRNA from 1 species